GAUGAACGCUGGCGGCGUGCUUAACACAUGCAAGUCGAACGAAGCACUUAUGACAGAUUCUUCGGAUGAUGGAUUAAGUGACUGAGUGGCGGACGGGUGAGUAACGCGUGGGUAACCUGCCUCAUACAGGGGGAUAACAGUUAGAAAUGACUGCUAAUACCGCAUAAGCGCACAGGACCGCAUGGUCUAGUGUGAAAAACUCCGGUGGUAUGAGAUGGACCUGCGUCUGAUUAGCUAGUUGGUGGGGUAACGGCCUACCAAGGCGACGAUCAGUAGCCGGCCUGAGAGGUUGAACGGCCACAUUGGGACUGAGACACGGCCCAGACUCCUACGGGAGCAGCAGUGGGGAUAUUGCACAAUGGAGGAAACUCUGAUGCAGCAACGCCGCGUGAGGGAAGAAGGUUUUCGGAUUGUAAACCUCUGUUUUUAGUGAAGAAACAAAUGACGUAGCUAAAGAGGAAGCCACGGCUAACUACGUGCCAGC
rnacentral:rRNA from 1 species